rnacentral:rRNA from 1 species
UACGUAGGGGGCUAGCGUUGUCCGGAAUCAUUGGGCGUAAAGCGCGUGUAGGCGGUCCGGUAAGUCCGCUGUGAAAGUCGGGGGCUCAACCCUCGAAAGCCGGUGGAUACUGUCGGGCUAGAGUGCGGAAGAGGCGAGUGGAAUUCCUGGUGUAGCGGUGAAAUGCGCAGAUAUCAGGAGGAACACCAAUUGCGAAGGCAGCUCGCUGGGACGUUACUGACGCUGAGAC